rnacentral:rRNA from 1 species
CAGCAGCCACGGUAAUACAGAGGGUGCAAGCGUUAAUCGGAUUUACUGGGCGUAAAGGGCGCGUAGGUGGUUAUGUAAGUGAGAUGUGAAAUCCCCGGGCUCAACCUGGGAACUGCAUCUUAUACUGCGUAGCUGGAGUGCAGUAGAGGGUAGUGGAAUUUCCGGUGUAGCGGUGAAAUGCGUAGAUAUCGGAAGGAACACCAGUGGCGAAGGCGGCUACCUGGACUGACACUGACACUGAGGCGCGAAAGCGUGGGGAGCAAACAGGAUUAGAUACCCGCGUAGUCCCUGUCUCUUAUAC